rnacentral:rRNA from 1 species
AACGUAGGUACCGAGCGUUAUCCGGAUUUACUGGGCGUAAAGCGCGUUCAGGCGGUGGGGCAAGUCGGGCAUGAAAUCUCUCGGCUCAACCGGGAGAGGUUGUCCGAUACUGCGUUACUAGAGGGCAGUAGAGGGUGGUGGAAUUCCGGGUGUAGUGGUGAAAUGCGUAGAGAUCCGGAGGAACACCAGUGGCGAAAGCGGCCACCUGGACUGCACCUGACGCUGAAACGCGAAAGCUAGGGGAGCGAACGGG